rnacentral:rRNA from 1 species
CAGUCGAGCAGAAUGGAUUGAGAGCUUGCUCUCAAGAAGUUAGCGGCGGACGGGUGAGUAACACGUGGGUAACCUGCCCAUAAGACUGGGAUAACUCCGGGAAACCGGGGCUAAUACCGGAUAACAUUUUGAACUCCAUGGUUCGAAAUUGAAAGGCGGCUUCGGCUGUCACUUAUGGAUGGACCCGCGUCGCAUUAGCUAGUUGGUGAGGUAACGGCUCACCAAGGCAACGAUGCCUAGCCGACCUGAGAGGGUGAUCGGCCACACUGGGACUGAAACACCGCCCACACUACUACGGGA